ACUCAGCUGACGAGUCCCGAAUACGACGAAACGCGUGUCUUGGAU
rnacentral:hammerhead_ribozyme from 1 species